AGUGAACGCUGGCGGCAGGCCUAACACAUGCAAGUCGAACGGCAGCACAGUAAGGGCUCGCUCUUACGGGUGGCGAGUGGCGGACGGGUGAGGAAUACAUCGGAAUCUACUCUUUCGUGGGGGAUAACGUAGGGAAACUUACGCUAAUACCGCAUACCACCUACGGGUGAAAGCAGGGGAUCUUCGGACCUUGCGCGAGGGAAUGAGCCGAUGUCGGAUUAGCUAGUUGGCGGGGUAAAGGCCCACCAAGGCGACGAUCCGUAGCUGGUCUGAGAGGAUGAUCGGCCACACUGGAAGUGAGACACGGUCCAGACUCCUACGGGAGGCAGCAGUGGGGAAUAUUGCCCGAUGGGCGGAAGCCUGAUGCAGCAACGCCGCGUGCGGGAUGACGGCCUUCGGGUUGUAAACCGCUUUCGCCUGUGACGAAGCGUGAGUGACGGUAAUGGGUAAAGAAGCACCGGCUAACUACGUG
rnacentral:rRNA from 1 species